GGUGAGUAAUGCCUAGGAAUCUGCCUGGUAGUGGGGGAUAACGUCCGGAAACGGGCGCUAAUACCGCAUACGUCCUGAGGGAGAAAGUGGGGGAUCUUCGGACCUCACGCUAUCAGAUGAGGGAUUACCUAGUUGGUGGGGUAAAGGCCUACCAAGGCGACGAUCCGUAACUGGUCUGAGAGGAUGAUCAGUCACACUGGAACUGAGACACGGUCCAGACUCCUACGGGAGGCACCAGUGGGGAAUAUUGGACAAUGGGCGAAAGCCUGAUCCAACCAUGCCGCGUGUGUGAACAAGGUCUUCGGAUUGUAAAGCACUUUAAGUUGGGAGGAAGGGCAGUAAGUUAAUACCUUGCUGCUUUGACGUUACCAACAGAAUAAGCACCGGCUAACUUCGUGCCACGGUAAUACGAAGGGUGCAAGCGUUAAUCGGAAUUACUGGGCGUAAAGCGCGCGUAGGUGGUUCAGCAAGUUGGAUGUGAAAUCCCCGGGCUCAAACCUGGGAACUGCAUCCAAAACUACUGAGCUAGAGUACGGUAGAGGGUGGUGGAAUUUCCUGUGUAGCGGUGAAAUGCGUAGAUAUAGGAAGGAACACCAGUGGCGAAGGCGACCACCUGGACUGAUACUGACACUGAGGUGCGAAAGCGUGGGGAGCAAACAGGAUUAGAUACCCUGGUAGUCCACGCCGUAAACGAUGUCGACUAGCCGUUGGGAUCCUUGAGAUCUUAGUGGCGCAGCUAACGCGAUAAGUCGACCGCCUGGGGAGUACGGCCGCAAGGUUAAAACUCAAAUGAAUUGACGGGGGCCCCGGUGGAGCAUGUGGUUUAAUUUGAAGCAACGCGAAGAACCUUACCUGGCCUUGACAUGCUGAGAACUUUCCAGAGAUGGAUUGGAACUCAGACACAGGUGCUGCAUGGCUGUUGUCAGCUCGUGUCGUGAGAUGUUGGGUUAAGUCCCGUAACGAGCGCAACCCUUGUCUUUAGUUACCAGCACCUCGGGUGGGCACUCUAAGGAGACUGCCGGUGACAAACCGGAGGAAGGUGGGGAUGACGUCAAGUCAUCAUGGCCCUUACGGCCAGGGCUACACACGUGCUACAAUGGUCGGUACAAAGGGUUGCCAAGCCGCGAGGUGGAGCUAAUCCCAUAAAACCGAUCGUAGUCCGGAUCGCAGUCUGCAACUCGACUGCGUGAAGUCGGAAUCGCUAGUAAUCGUGAAUCAGAAUGUCACGGUGAAUACGUUCCCGGGCCUUGUACACACCGCCCGUCACACCAUGGGAGUGGGUUGCUCCAGAAGUAGCUAGU
rnacentral:rRNA from 1 species